CCCUUAGAUGUUCUGGGCUGCACGCGCGCUACACUGAUGCAUCCAACAAGUUUUUUCCUUGUUCGAGAGGACUAGGUAAUCUUAUGAGAAUGCAUCGUGAUGGGGAUAGAUUAUUGCAAUUAUUAAACUUCAACGAGGAAUUCCUAGUAAGCGCGAGUCAUCAGCUCGUGCUGAUUACGUCCCUGCCCUUUGUACACACCGCCCGUCGCUGCAACUGAUUGGGUGACCUGGUGAACAUCUUGGACCGGCCCACUCAAUUUCGAGAGGACUGGAAAAGGCCGUAAAUCAGGUACAUCUAGAAAUUGCAAAAGUCGUAACA
rnacentral:rRNA from 1 species